rnacentral:rRNA from 1 species
CUACGGGAGGCAGCAGUCGAGAAUCUUUCACAAUGGGCGAAAGCCUGAUGCAGCGACGCCGCGUGGGUGAAGAAGGUUUUCGGAUCGUAAAGCCCUUUUCUGUGUGACGAGAGAGGACGGUAGCACAGGAAUAAGUGUCGGCUAACUACGUGCCAGCAGCCGCGGUAAAACGUAGGACGCAAGCGUUAUCCGGAGUUACUGGGCGUAAAGCGCGCGCAGGCGGAUUGAUAAGUUAGCCAUGAAAGCUCCUGGCUAAACUGGGAGAGGCUGGUUAAGACUGUCAGUCUAGAGAGAGUGAGAGGGAAGUGGAAUUCCGCGUGUAGUGGUGAAAUGCGUAGAGAUGCGGAGGAACACCAGAGGCGAAGGCGGCUUCCUGGCACUCCACUGACGCUGAGGCGCGAAAGCAUGGGUAGCGAACGGGAUUAGAAACCCGGGUAGUCC